GAUGAACGCUGGCGGCGUGCUUAACACAUGCAAGUCGAACGGAAAGGCCCCUUUGGGGGUACUCGAGUGGCGAACGGGUGAGUAACACGUGAGUAACCUGCCCUUGACUUCGGGAUAACUUCAGGAAACUGGGGCCAAUACCGGAUAGGAAUCCUUGCUUCAUGGUGGGGGUUGGAAAGCUUCGGCGGGUUUGGAUGGACUUGCGGCUUAUCAGCUUGUUGGUGGGGUAGUGGCUUACCAAGGCUUUGACGGGUAGCCGGCCUGAGAGGGCGACCGGCCACAUAGGGACUGAGGGGCGGCCCAGACACCUACGGGAGGGAGAAGUGGGGAAUAUUGCACGAGGGGCGGAGGGCUGAUGCAGAAGCGCCGCGUGCGGGAUGACGGCCUUCGGGUUGUAGACCGCUUUCAGCAGGGGCGAAGCUUGUGGUGACGGUACCUGCAGAAGAAGCACCGGCUAACUACGUG
rnacentral:rRNA from 1 species